CCAAAGUGUUCUUAUUUUCUUCUGUAAAUAUGAUUUUAUCUAAAGAUCCAUUAGACAUGAAGUCAUAUACCAGAGCUUGCUUUGAUCCCUCCACACAAAAUCCAAUAAGUUUUGCCACAUUGGCAUGAUGAAUUCUACCAAUAGAAGCAACUUCAUUUAUGAAAUCUUGGCCAUUACCUUUUGACUUACCCAACAAUUUUAUUGCCACAUGAUGCCCGCUACGAAGCUUUCCUUUAAACACUGAGCCAUAACCCCCUUCACCUAAUUUAUCUUUAAAAUUUGUAGACAUUUUUUUUAUUUCAUUAAAGUAAUACCUUAUCGGCACCAGAUUAUUUUGACUUUGAAGGAACUCUUCGAUUGUAUCAUCCAUGGAUAAAUGUCUUCUUCUCCAUUUGUACGUAACAAGAGCAAACAAACAAAUUAUCCCAGGAAAUGACCUCAAAAAGAUAAUUCCACCUUUAAAGAAAUACAAUGUAAUACAUCAGUACUUGUGAAAUUAAUCAAAUAAUAUAUAACUUACAUUCUCAAAAAAGUAAAUAAUGUGAUAGUUUUAUGCUGUUUUAUAAUUAACUACUACUUAAAAGAGGGGCAUAUUAAUUUCACUACUUUAUGGAAUUAAUUUAGAAAUAACAGUGAUGCCUUGUGUUUACCCUUCUAUACCAAAUGAAAACCUUUGAAAGGUCAUUGAGUACCCAAGAAAAAUAAUUCCGAAUUAUAUGUUAUGGUUUAUAUUCUAGCAGGUGCACCUCAACAAAGUCAAACUUAGAACUGCACACACAAAGGAGUAAAUCAUUCAAUUUGGAUACCAAUUAUUCUAACCUCACCAUGGUCCAUCAAGGAUACUCAACUUUUAUAUUCAUGUCCAAUACACUUGAAGAAGGACAAAGUGCAAAUAUAAUAACCUUCAAUCUUUUUAAAUGAAACGAAGUCUAUAAUCACCAAAAUAUGCAAAACAACCAAAAAAAAAAAACUGGAUCGAUUGAAGAGCUAACUUUGUUGAAUGUUUUAGCAAUAUGAAUAGUCACCAAACUUACAACCUGUGGAAGUUCUAAACAAGACCAUUAUGAACACAAACUUAACCAAAACUUCAACAUCAUUAUUUACUUGACAAAAAAAAAUUUCUUUCGUAUAACAGAAUAAGAUUGUUUUCAGCAUUCAAACUCCUUAAAGAAUGCUAGAUUUCUUCGUUUUGCUGUGAAAUUAAAUAUGAACUUGUAUAGUAUGAUAGGCUCCCUAUUCUUUUUCCCCCCCAAGAAUAUUGCUAAUAUCUUUUCUUAACUAGUGCUAGAAUUUGUAUCGGAAAAAAUGCAAAUCUGCAAAUCCAAAAUUAACAAUACCUGUUAUUCCCAAACAGAGAAUAUAAGUUCCUGUAAAAAAACGAAAUAUCAUUAUUUCAAGAGAGCAGCGAAAUAGUAAAAUCAAAGCACUUCUAAAUUCUAAUGAAUUUUGGGAAGCAUACUUCUUGGUAUAGAAUGAUUGACAUUGUAGUAGACAUGGGGGCCAUGGAAAAGGAAAUGUACAAAGCUGUCCAUAUAGUUUCUGAAGGCAAAUUUCAACCUUGGCAAUCUGAAUUAUAUAUUCAACAAAUCAAAGUAAAAUUAAUAAAGGGGUGUAAAGGAAAAUUCCAAAUUUGUGUAAAAAAAAUCAUGGAAGGUAAUUUAAAGCAUUAUAUUCUAUUUUGAGGUAUAUGCUCAAAAAAUUUAAAACAAUUCUUUACAUAUUUUUGUUUGCAAAAAGUAUGCAACAUGUAUUACAGUAUAAGAGUUUUUAGGUAACUAAAAUUAUUUAAUAUAAUAAAAGGUGAGACAAAAUUUAUUUAAAUUAAUUAAUCCAAAAAAUAAACUCAUCCACAACGGUGGAAUAUUUACGUACUACCAACUAAGUUGCGAAAAAAGGUAACGUAAAAUAAAAGAAAAAAUAAAGGUAGGUCAUACAAAAAGCAAAGGCAGAUGUUGUAACUAAAAUUUCCAAUAUGAUGCACACUCUAAAUGCAAAUUGAAAUUAUUGAACAAACUUACACUUCUUUUAACACAUCUGGUUUAUAGCAGCUCUGGUAACUGCAUGCAUCUAUCCCAUUCGACCCAAAAACCUUCUAAUAGUUUUUUGUAGAUAUCCAGCGUAGACAUGCCUAUUAUAUUCUUAACCUUAAUUGGCGCCUUCGCUUCAAUAGUGCAAGCUUGAUUGAAAUCAGCUUGAUUGAAAUCAGAUGGACGAGUUUUUGCAUCUAAAAAAUAGAAAUGGGAAGUUGGAAGGGAAGAAGAGGUAUUAGAUUUGGUGGUACAACGAGAAGCCCCAAUAUAAAGUGAUGAAUUUAUAGGUUCCGUGCAAUUCACAACAUACAUAAUGGUACAUAUACCUAUAUAAUAUAAAGAACUAAGAGGAAGAGAGUUGCAAUCAUCCGUGUCCAAGCUUGUAUCGACCACUUGUAUUGUAUAAUUUUCAUAAAAGAUUAGUUGGACAAAGAAUUUCCCUUCUCUUGCAACAAAAGUGGUGCGAUUGUUGUUCUCACACACAAGUUCAAAGUCAUAGAGACCACACUGGGGAGGUUGGUUUUUUAAUCGGAAUGGAAAACUGAUAUUCAAAUUCCCACAGAAAGUAGAGCCACAAUCUUGGUUAAUAAGUUGCCUAGCAAGACAAACACCAGGGAAUAGAAUUACAAAUAAAGCAAAAUGGGGCAUUAGGUGGCCCAACAAUCUUUUUUCUGGGAAACACCUCAAUCAAAGCACAUCUAAUUCCAAGAACAGAGCCGCGGUUAUCUCAAGCAAAAGAAAAAGAAGAUUUUAAUAUUAUUCAAAAAUUUUAAAUAAAUUUGGACCAUAUACUUGUAGAUCAACCUUUAUCACCUUAAUAAAUUCCAAUUACAAUGAGGAGGAACAAGACAAUGCAAGUCUUAAGUCUUCUUUGAAACACAAAAACAUUUAAGUGGCUGAGAGCAACAACUGUUAUUACUUUGGUCCUUUUGUGUUAUGUAAGACAACUAUUUGUUGGAUAUUUCUAAAAAGCAAGUUCAUAGUUAGAACUGUCAAGCAAGGCGACUCAAUGCCCAAUUGUAUAGAUUUUUUAUUUUAUUUUAUUCCACGAAUAAUACUUAACUACUUUUCAAAUAAUUUUAUUAAUAUAAUUACAUGUUUUUAUCCAUUCUACUGUGAUACUUGAACUUGACAACUAGUUAUAUUUUGGUUCCUAAACUUAAAAAAUAUGAAAGUUUUAUGAUGUAACUCUCUAAUAUUGUGCUACAUCAUCACUUGAAAAUUAAAAAAUAAUGUAUAUAAAUUUUUAGAGAAUGGCGUGGUACAAUCUCUAAGUGUUCAUUAUUUUAAUAAUCAAGUUGAUGAUUGAACCAGUCAGACCACUAUUACUCGAUUCAAUUAGUUUGAUCAGUUCGACUGCCAGACCAACAAUAAUUAAAUAAAUCAUUAAACAUUCAUAAAAUUCUAAAAAAAUAGAAAACAAAAUUUAUUAAACCGAUUAGACAUGGUCAACAGCUGGGGUUUUUCUCUAAUUUUUUAAUUUUUACCAAUUUCAAGUAAUUUUUAUAUUUAAUUGAUUCAACAUCUUUGUUCAAAUCAUUAUACCGAUCGAUUCUCGGUCCAAUCAAUCUAACCAUCCAAUCCACUCCUAUACUAGUAACACUGAUCAUAUUAUCAAAUCUUGAUGGAAUUCAGGUUUAAGUUUAAGGGACUAUAAUAGACUUAGCUGCCAAGUUUAGAUAUCAAAGUGGACCAAAAAUUUUCGCUUAUUUUAAAGAGAUCUUAUUUUUCUAAAAGUUUUUACUCUUUUUUUUAAUUACUAUAUAAUUUGUACUAAUUAUUUUAAAACAUGUGUUAAAUCAUUUUUAACCAUACUCAAAACCAUUUUUUUAAUCAAAUAUAAGUACUUAAUAUUUAAUUAAAUUAAAAAGAUCGAAGAGAUAAAUUUCAAAAUUAUAUAUGAACUUUAAUUUAAUGUGCAAUUGUAUAUAUGAAUUUUAAUUUGGUGCAAUUAUACACGUGUAACUCUAAUUAUGGUUCAAAUAUAUACUUGAAACUUUAUAUAUACAAUUACACAUUAAACCAUAGUGCAUGUAUACAUAAUUCAUAAAUUGUACAUAAGAAGUAUGUUUUGGUUAGUGUAAUAUAACUGUCAUUCAAGACACACCCUUUGAAAUUCAAGUUUUGAUUCAGAUUCUUUCUUCUUCUUUUUUUAAUAAAAUCUCUAUGAAAGGUUUUUUUUUUUUUUAAUUCCUUAACGGUAGUGAUUUUGGGUUAUGGAGAAAAGGAGUGAAAAGUUGUGAUUUUUGUGGAAGUAGGGAUUUUUCUGUUUUAAUAGUUUUAGAAAUGGGUUUGAUGGAGAUUUCAAUAAUGCUUCAUGUUGGAUUAGUUUUGUUGCUACUUUGGAUGCUUUCUCAAUUCAAUCUUUGCCAUCCACUCCCUUAUUUCCUGUCUCUCAUCUACCUCUAUUUGGGUUUCAUUCAUCUUCUGCUGAGAAUAAAAAAUGAAUCUUUUUUUUCUUUAUUUUUGAACUUGGAUUGAACUUUUUUUUUAUUGUUUUUGUUACAAAAAUUCCUUUUAUUUCUUUGUUCAUCAAAGGUUCAUGAAAUGUAUGUGACGAGAUUGAGGAAGAAAUUGGAGUUGGAGGAAAUAAUGCACAAAGAAACUAGACAUGUCAACAACAAAACAAUAAUGCCAACACUCUCAAACGCAACAACAAAAAUGUUUUCGAAAAGGAAAUAGGCAUCACACUUAGAGUAUAGAAAUACUUGGAUUGUAACCAUGAAAAACGAAAUAAGAUAACCAACAUCCUCAUCACAAUGGAUUCUCCUCUGAUUCAUUAGUAGCCUCUGCAAUGCAAUAACACGAUUAAAAAUUAUUGUAGCAGUAACUCUUAUAAAUAUUAAAAAAUUAACUUCCAAACACAUCCAUCACGUCUAAAUCUAAUCUAAGUCAAGGUUGGUCUAAACAUGAAAAUUCUAACCGACUCAUCUCAAUUCAAUUCAACUAAACCUAAACUAAAUUGACACAAAAAUCUAUUUAUACAAUUUACUUUUAAUUUAUAUAUAAUUUUAGUUAUGAUUUAAAUUUAUACAUUUAAUAUUGAACAAAUAGUCAAAAUAAAGAAAAUUGGUAAUUAUGAACAAUAACUUAACACAUAGGUAAUUAAAGAAAAUACUCAUAUAUAUUUAUAUAUAAGGCAAAAUAAUAUAAAGCUAAAAAGUGAGAUAAUGAAGUAAAAUGUUUCUAACCUUAUGCAAUAUUUGAACUCGCUACAAUAACACUAUCCAAUGGUGUACUUGGCUCAUCAUUAGAGUUCUCACAAUUAUGAACCUCCAUUGAUGUUUCAAGAGGAAGUUGAUGGAAUGGCUUAGGAGGCAUCUCAAGGAGUUCAACAUCAGAUUCAAGCAUCUUCAAGACUUUACUCAUUGAAGGACGAUCAGAAGGCAGUAAUUGUAUACAUCAAAAGGCAGUUAUUAUCAUCUUCUUCACCAUUACUUUUUCAUCGUCAGAAACAUCUCCUAGCUCUAUGUCCUCUCCUUGAUCUAAUCGGUCAUAAAUCCAAGAUGGAAAAUAGAUCUGACUAGUGUGGUCAGCAAAUGCAUUCACAUUCUUUCUCCUUCCAACCAUUUCCAUCAGUAACAUUCCAAAACUAUAAACGUCAGCUUUGUAUGAGAUGCCUCCAAGAUUUUUGUAAACCAAUUCAGGAGCAAUAUAUCCUAUUGUUCCUCGUGCCGCAGUGAGGGAGAAAAUGCUAUCAUCUACUGAAUACAAUUUAGCAAGACCAAAAUCGGAAACUUUUGGAUUAAAAUUCUCAUCAAGAAGAAUAUUGUGUGGCUUGAUAUCAAAAUGUAGAAUUUGCAUGUCACACCCUUGAUGCAAGUAGUGAAUUCCUUGAGCCACCCCAAGCACAAUAUCAAACAUUUUUUUCCAGCCCAAAGUGUUCUUAUUUUCUUCUGUAAAUAUGAUUUUAUCUAAAGAUCCAUUAGACAUGAAGUCAUAUACCAGAGCUUGCUUUGAUCCCUCCACACAAAAUCCAAUAAGUUUUGCCACAUUGGCAUGAUGAAUUCUCCCAAUAGAAGCAACUUCAUUUAUGAAAUCUUGGCCAUUACCCUUUGAUUUGCCCAGCAAUUUUACAGCCACGUGAUGCCCACUACGAAGCUUCCCUUUAAAUACUGAGCCAUAACCCCCUUCACCUAAUUUAUCUUUAAAACUUUUAGUCAUUUUUUUAAUUUCUUUAUAGGAAUACCUAAUGGGAACAAGAUUGUUUUGGCUUUGAAGGAACUCUUCGAUCAUAUCAUCCAUAGAUAAAUGUCUUCUUCUCCAUUUGUAUGUAACAAGAGCAAGCAAAAAAAUUAUCGCAGGCAACGACCUCGAUGAGAUAACUCCAACUUUAAAGAAAUACAAUGUAACACGUCAGUAAUUGUGAAAUUAAUCAAAUAAUUUUUAACUUACAUUCUAAAUAUAUAUAUACUGGGAUAGUUUUAUGCUGUUUUAAAAUUAACUAGUAUUGGAAAGAGUGGCAUAUUUCACUAGUUUUAUGCUGUUUUAUAAUUAACAUCAUUGAUACCUUGUGGUUACUCUUCUAUACCAAAUAAAAAACUUUGAAGGGCCAUUGAAAACCCAAAAAAAAAAAAACUCUGAAUUACAUGUUAUGUUUUUGUCAUUAGCAGGUCUACCUCAACAAAUUCAUAUUCAGAACUUCACACACAAAGUAAAUCAUACCAAGUGCAUACCAAUUAUUCUAACCUCACACAUUCGAAUAGAUUUCAUAAAUGAAACAAAAUCUAGAACCGCCAAAAAAAAUAAGAUUUAUUAAAUUCAAGAGCUAACUUUGUUGAUUGUUUUAGCAAAUUGAGUAUCCACCAAACUUAUAACCUGUGAAAGUUCUAAACAAGACCAUUAUGAAAACAAGCUUAAGUAAAACUCCAACAUCUUUCUUAACUUGACAAAAAAAUUCUUUCAUAAACUUUGAAGGGCCAUUGAAAACCCCAAAAAAACAACUCUGAAUUACAUGUUAUGUUAUUGUCACUAGCAGGUAUACCUCAACAAAUUCUAGCUAAAAGAAGUAAAUCAUAUACAAAGUGCAUACCGUUUAUUCUAACCUCACACAUUCAAAUAGAUUUGACAGGUCGGGUCCUGACAUUCACCCAAAUUUCAUAAAUGAAACAAAAUCCCCCCCCCCCCCCAAAAAAAAAGAAAAGAAAAAGAAAUGAUAAAUUUAAGUGCAUACCUGUUGCUUCAACAGAGUGAUCAUAAAUUGCUGUAGAAAUCCAAAGAUAAAAGAUAUGUAUAUCAGUAUAAUUAAAGAACAAAAUAGUAAAAUAUAAACAUGCAAAUAAACUCUGCAAAGCAUACUUUUAUACAUUUCACUAGCACCGGGUCGAUAGGGCCCAUGGAAAAUGAAAUGUUCAAAGCUCUUUCGGUAUCUUCUCAAACCAAUUUUAACUUCAUUCAAUCUGCAAUAUGAAUACACCCAAAUAAACAGAUUGAUGGGUUUGAUCCAAAACUUAUUAAAUGUUUUGCUAUGAACAAUAUCAACAAUUAGCUGUGUACUACUAAUUACAUAUCAAACAUUAGAGUUUAAAAACAAUGGUGGAAUAUUUACGUACUGCCAACUAAAUUGAAAAUUCAUGAAAAAUUAAAAAAAAUAAAAUAAAAAGAGAGACAUUAUAUUUUAAGAAGGUUCGCAGAAUUUAGAAACAUUGUGGUUGUAAAAACAUAAUCAAAUAUAAUUUUCCAAAAAGAAGACAAAACAGCAGACAAAGCAGAGGCAGAUACUAAAUUGGAAAUGCUUUUAGUUCAUUUGAUUGUUAGAUGUUGAUCAAUUUUAGAUGCAAAAUCAUGAUACUUAAUUAGCAUCAUAAAAUUUAAUUGCAAAAAAAGUAACAUAAAAUAAAACAAAACAAAAAGUAGAUGUUGUAACUAAAAAUUCCAGUCUGAUGAUUUAAUUAAUGAUGCACACUCAAAAUGCAAACUGAAAUUAUUAAAGAAAAAUACUUACAGUCUUUUAAACCAAACUUUGUUAUAGCAACUCUGGUAAUUGCAUCUAUCCCAUUCGACCCAAAAACCCUCUAAUAGUUUUUUGUAGAUAUUCAGUGUAGACAUGCCUAUUAUAUUAUCAGUCAUAAUUGGAACCUCCGCUUCAAUAGUGCAAGCUUGAUUGAUAUCAGAUGAGUGGGUGUUUCCAUUUAAAAAAUAGAAAUGGGAAGUUGGAAGGGAAGAGGAGAUAUUAUAUUUGAUGGUACAACGAGAAGCUUCAAUAUAAAGUGAUGAUUUUAUAGGUUUCGUGCAAUUCAUAACAUAAAUAAUGCUGAUCUCUAACCUUCCAUCAUAAUAAUAUUUAUUAUAAUAAUAAUUAUUAUUAUUAGAAGAAGAAAGGUAAAAAGAUGAUAGUUCAUAAUCAUAAGUAUAAUAAUAAUAAUAUACAGAAGUAAGAGGAAGGGAGUUGCAAUCAUCCGUGUCCAAGCUCGCAUCAACCAUUCGUAUUGUAUAAUUUUCGUAAAAGAUUUGUUGGACAGAGAAUUUCCCUUCUUUAUCGACCAAAAUGGUGCGAUUAUUGUUCUCACACUCAAAUUCAAAGCCAUAAUGACCACACUGGGGAGGUUGGUUUUUUAAUCGGAAUGGAAAACUGAUAUUCAAAUUCCCACAGAAAGUAGAGCCGCAGUCUUGGUUAAUAAGACGCCUAGCAAAACAAACAGCAGGAAAUAGAAUUACAAAUAAAGCAAAAGCGGGCAUUAGGUGACCCAACAAUGGCAGUUUUGCUUUUAAUUUUGGCAUGCUAAAAUUUUGGGUAAGGAAGAAGAACAAUAAUGGGGGUUAAUGAUUAAGUUUCUAACUAAAUCAGGGAAAUAUAUAAGAAAACUUCAGUGGGAGAAGAAGCAUUAAUGGGGACAGAAGACUUUGACUAGUCUUCAGCUUUAUUUGGGAUGAAUAUUUUAUUUUCGAUCAAUUUUUUACACCUAUUUUUUUCUGGGAAACACCUCAAUCAAAGCACAUCUGAUUUCAAGAAAGGUUAUGUAGUCACCAAGUUAUUUCUCUAAUGCAUCUGUAUUAUGUUUAAGAGUUUAAUCUUUUCAUUUUAUGGUUGAUUUGAAUAUUUAUUUAAACUUAGAAAGGAAGGUUGAAAGUUAUUCCAGUAAUGCAUUUAAGCGUUUAAUUGAAUUAAUAUCACUUGUUUUAAUUUAAUUGUGAAAUUAUAAAAUAUUUAUAAUUUGUACAAAAUAAUAAAUAUUAUUUUGAGAGUAUUUAAGAACAAAGUUAAAAAUAUUUAUAAAGUAGACAUAUGAAUAAAGUGUUUUUAAAUUCGAGGUAGUUUUGAUCACCCAAAUCAAAAUUUUAAAAAGUAAAAUAGGUUAAAUGUUCAAUCUAAAUUAGAUAUUGCAAUUAUUUAAGUGCAUUUUUUUAUCAAAUUAAUAUUUCAAUACUACUUCAUUUUUAGAUAUGGUAAUCAUUUAACUUUUUUUUUACUAAAUUAAUAUUUAGAUGCUACUUUGUAUUAGUUUAUCAAAUUAAACUAAGAAUGUUAAUUUUUUUUACCAAAUUAAUAUUUAGAUACUACUUUCUAUUAGUUUAUUAAAGGGUAAAAUAUAAAAUUGAUACCCGAACUUGUCCACUUCUCCUAGAUUAAUACUUAUGGUUUUUUUUUUGUCCCAGAUUGGUACCCGAACUUUUCCACUUAUCUUAGAUUAAUACUUAUGAGUUUUUUUUGUCUCAUAUUGGUGCCUGAACUUUUUCUCCGUCUACUAUAUUGGUACUUGAGACUAAUGGCAUUAAUUUUUUGCUGGCGUGGCAGCAUUGGCCAAUCGCACGCCGCCACAUGACAGCCUUUUAUGCCUCUUUUUUCUUUUUCUUUUCUUUUCUAUUUUCCCUCCUCCUCACUUUUUCUUUCCUUUUCUUAUUUUCCCUUUUUUCCCUGGGCCUUGGGCCUUGGGCCUGGUCCUAAAAGAAAAAAGGAAAAUAAGAAAAGAAAAAGGGAAAAAUGAGGCAUAAAAGGAUGUCACGUGACCACGUGUGAUUGUCCAACACUAUCAAUUCAACAAAAAAUUAGUGUCGUUAGUCUUAGGUACCAUUAUAGUGGACGGAAAAAAAGUCCAAGUAUAAAUCUGGAACAAAAAAAAUCAUAAGUACCAAUCUCGGAGAACAGCAAAAUCUCUUGAUUGAAAGAAUAAAAGAUAUAAUAAAUUUAAUUCUAAUAUUCCAAAGAGAUUUGUUAAUCCCGAUAUUCCGGAGAGAUGGUGAAUACCGAUUUAAGCCUAAAGUUAAUUUGAAUUUAGUGAAGCAUGAAAUUAAUCAUGCUUUGGUUGGUUAUGGAGGUGGAUUUGAAUGGAAAUGGUGGUACGUGAAAGGGGAAGAGCUUGGGAAACAAUUAAGCCAAAAUAUUGAAAUGGAAACAAAAGUCAACAGAAUGCCUGCACUCUUGCACGCAAAGUAAGAAAGAAAAUAAAUUGAUCUUUUUUCUAUUCAAUUGCGAAGCAAAUCAAGCUGUAUUUUUUGAAGUUCACCAUGCAACCUAUUUAUACAUAAACCAUAUGCUAAAAUUAAGCUAGUCUCACCUACCCACUAAUUACAUGAAGUAAAUAUCAGAUUUAUUUUCUAAUUUUAGCUGUUACAAAGUCAAAAAUCUGAUCAGCCCUUAAAUGUCUCCAAAUUUCUAAUUCAACCCCUCUUCAAUUGCUCAUCCUUCAAUUUAAUCAUUUUCUACUUGUUUUCGAAUUAAAGCAUCCGAACUUCGUUCCUAACAAGAUUUAAACAUAAAAUUUACCAAUUAGCAUAAAUUAAUUCAAGAACAAAUUGAUUUGAGUACGUAAAAUAUGCAAAAUAAAUAUGCUAUCAAAUUCCCCCCUACUUAGCCUAUGCUUGUCCUCAAGCAUACUGUACAUUCCUUCAUCAGAAAUUAUUCAGUAACUUAUCAAAAAUCAAGCCUCUUAUCCACAACCAUGAUCAACGCAAAUAAUUUUAUACGAAAAAUGAGUAAGUGCUCAAAUACUUAGUUUGAUCAUCAAGUGUUCAUAAAACUCAAACAUGCAAAUUAAAUCAUUUCACUAAAUUGAGUUUUAACCAAAAUUUACAGGGUAUUAUUCUUAAUUAAUUAUGUAGUAUAUUUGGGACAUAGUCAAACCUUUUUACGCGAAUAAGGAUGACAAACCAAGCACUCUACUCUGGUUACUCAAUUUGACAUGUCUCCAAAUGGGCUAUUUUUCCCUACUCAUGACAGCUCGGUUAGCGGAAUGUUUGCAAGUUUUCAGUUUGUCACUCUAACAUUUUUAUGCGAGAUAAGAUGACAACCCAAGCACCUAAUCUUGGUUACUAAAUCUAGUCACUUUCCAAAAUCUUCACUCAUAUCUUGAGCCAUCAGCAGAGUAGUAUUUUUAUUUUUAUUUAUUAUUAUUACCUUUUUAUAUUUUUUCUCUUUAUUUAUUUAUUUACAAGCAAAUAUCAAUAUUCUUAACAAGCAAUUAUAAACAGUCAAUUUUCAUGAAAUAAUCUAAUUACAUAUAUCAACUUUAUAACACACAUGUCGAUUAAACUAGACAAUGAACACUUUAAUUCAAGAAUCACCCAACUAUAUGAAUUGACUAAACAAUGGAAUUAGAGGCUCGAUGUCAAACAAAUUAAGGAAUAAUUCGGCAUAAGAAUUAACACAAGCGAAAAAGAAACAAACAUGCAGCGAAAAGAAAAUCAAUCAUGCACACUUACUAAUCCAACACCUCCUACUUAAUCUAUGUUUGUCCUCAAGCAUAUUGUAUAAGAAUUAAAGUAUAGUAGAGAGAAAUGUCAAGUAUACUCCCGUGUAUAUUAACGUGGUUGUCGGUGUUGGCAGUGACUACUUUGCAAGAUGGUGAGAAUUGUGGAGACUUGGGUUUAUUUGAAGAAAAAUGGAUUAGGUUAGGUGUGUGUGUUUUUUAUUUGGGUUUGGGGUGUUGGGUUGUGAAGAAAAUAAAUGGCAGUACUGAGCAAGGCGUGUCCAUGCCACGAUCGAUAUUCGAUUUUUAAAAAAUUUGACAGCCUCCACUACAUUCCUAAAAAAUAACAUAUAAAAUGGAUUAAAUAAUAAUCUUGUUGUUAUUUAUUUUAUUUUCAACCUAAAUUUUACUAAAAUUCAAAAUUAAAUAAAUUAAAAUAAAUUUAGAUUGCCUCCUAAAAAGUGUUUUUGUUUAACGUCGUUAGCUCGAUGACCUUAAAUGUUAUUCGUUUGGCUAAUUGAGAAUUAAUUUUUCCAUCCCGUGCACUUGGACGUUCUUGUAGAAAGGUUUCAACCUUUCCCAUUGCCCUUGAAGCACUUCCCGGAUUCCUUCAUCAUCGGUGGAUUGAGACGUCUUUAAGCUUCUAUGUUCAAGUUUGUCUUUUCCUCUACCCGAAUCCUUAUAUGUUCUAGAAACGGUUCAAACUCUAAUUUUGAGGCUUUCAUGCAAAUGACAUCUUCACGUAUUGGUUUUUUGAUAACCGAUAAUUCCUCUUGCUUAACAUCGAGAUCUAUACUCCUACAAGGCACAAUUUGUAACUUAUCCUUUUCAAAAUGUAAGUUGAAAACACUAGAGACAUUUGUUAUUGCACUAGGAUCUCCCAUAUCCUCAUAAACAUUAAACCUAACCACUUCACCGUCAAAUUUCAUGGUGAGUGUUCCACUCAAAAUAUCAAUUUUCGUUCGUGUAGUGCUUAGAAGUGGUCUUUCGAGUAGAAUAUUGGAAAAUUUGGCCGAGUUAUCAUCCUCCAUGUCGAUAAUGUAAAAUUUUGCAGGAAAAAUAAGUUCGUUUACCUUGACAAGAACAUCCUCCAGCACUCCCUCCGGAUGCACUACUAACCUAUCUACAAGCUGAGUGAUUACACUUGUUUCCUUUAAAAGACUCACAUUUAGUAGUUCAUAAAUAAACAAAGGCAUAACAUUAAUAGAUACAUCUAAUUCGCACAUAACUUUUUUAAUCCCGACACUACCAAUCUUGCAAUAUAUAGAAAACAUACAUUAGUCAUUACAUUUCGGUAGUAUUUUCUUUUGUAAAAUGGCAAAGACAUUUUCUCCAACAGUCACAUUUUCACUGCAUAAGAGUUUUUAAGAACUUUACAUAUCGUGGAAUUUACUUAAUCGCAUCUAGAAGAAUGAUGUUUAUUUCUACCUUCCAAAAAGUGUCAAGGAUCUCCUUCUCAUCUCGCUCCUUUUUGCAUUCGACAAGUUUUUUUUAGGAAAUAAAGGUGGUACUACAAAUGGUUUUUGUGGCGUCGACUCUAUUGGAGCCUAAGUCAAUUUUCUUCUCAUCUCGACCAACGUUGUGGUCACGACUCACUCUAGGUAUGGGUUCCAAAACUUUUCCACUUCUAGACAUCAUAGCACUUGUAUUAUGUCGAGGAUUAAGUUCAGUUUAAGACGGUAACUUUCCUUGCGACUCCAAUCAACUUACUAUAAUUGCAAGCUUACUCAUCUGUUUAUCUAGCUCUUGAAGGUGUGUUUCUUCUUCUACUAGAAUUUUUUUAUACUGUUGGCUAGCCUUUCCACUAUUGCUUCCAAUGAUGAUUUUUGAGGUGGUAACUGUUGAUUCGGAAGUGGCCUUCAUUGAUAUGGUUGACUGAAUCGAGGAUUCAACCCAUAGCUCAAAUUUGGAUGAUCUUUCCACCCCACAUUAUAGGUGUUUGAAUAUGGAUCAUAUCGCCUUUGGGGUAGCCCUGAAAAGUUUCUGAAAACAUUUGCUUGUUUUGUCAGACCCUCGUGUAAAAUGGGACAUGAGUUCGUCGGGUGGUCUGGCAUGGCACGCUUUCAAUAUAAUCGUCCUGGACUUGUUUUAUCUGUAAACAAAUUUUGAACAACUUUAGUAAGCUUAUCAAUUUUAUCUUCUAGAGAUAGAGAACUUAGCCCUUGAACCCAUAUUGUGGGUUUUGUAGUCGAUCGAAAUUGUUGAGAAUUUGCAGCAAUGGUUGAAAUCAACUCUGUCGCUCUAUGAGAUGUCAUAUUAACAAGUGCCCCUUCGCUAGCAGCAUCUAUAGUUUUCAUUCCUGUAAGACCCAAUUUUCGCCCGGGCCCAGGCAAACAUAAAUAAAAACCCAACAAGCCCAAAACUUUUACAAGCCCAAACUAAAUAUAACCCUAGCCCACAAACUUUAAAAUUUUUCAGCCAAAACAAAAAAACCCUAGCCUCCCUAACUCUUUUCAGCCGCCAGCCUCCACGCAUGCCCACUGCCGCUACUGCUCGCCUAUCACCGGCCACCCAUGCGUCUGACGCCUCUGACACCUGCAGAGAGCAAUAAACACGCAGCAGAGAGAAGAAAACAAAUCGCAAACAAAUAAAAAAACAAUGGAUAUGAAUAGUUGUANNNNNNNNNNNNNNNNNNNNNNNNNNNNNNNNNNNNNNNNNNNNNNNNNNNNNNNNNNNNNNNNNNNNNNNNNNNNNNNNNNNNNNNNNNNNNNNNNNNNAACCUUUGUAAGCUUCUUCCGUUUUUUACAAAUAUUAAGAAAGAAAAGCAAAACUUAAGGUGAAACUUUGUUCUCUGUUGAAGUGUUUAUUUAAAUUUGUUUUGCAUUUUUUUUAUAUUUUUAUUUUUUAUUUUUCUUCAUAUAAUCGAAAAUAAUAAAAAACUCACCUGGGUUACGGUCUCUUCGCCGGAGUCCCGUUUUCUGUCACCGGAGACGAGUUUAAAGAAGGGACGAGGAAGGCUUCUUUUUUUCUUACCUGUUUUGCUGGGCUCGGGCUGAGAACCCCUUUGGUUCCGCAUGACUCCGGCCACCGUCCUCGGUGGCGUUGCGACGGGGAUGCGGCGGAUGACGGCGGGGUUCCAAUAGCAGAGAAGGGGAAGCCCUUUUAUUUUUUUUAUUCUUUUGUAUUCUUUGCAGAAAAUGAAACAGUGCAUUAAAGGUUCAAAAAAAAGAAAGCAUUUUUUUGCUUUUAUGGAUUGCAGAACAGUGCCGUUUGAGGGGGGAAAUCAACGCAUUCUUGCCCUUAAUGGGUAAUUUAUGCAUUUAGUCCCUCCAUAUUGCGCUGAAGUGCAAUCUAACCUUUUAUUCUUUUGAUUAUGGGCUGCGAAUUUUGUUUCUGCUUCAAUCUGGUCCAUAAACCAUGCGCAGACCCUCAAUGCGUUUAGGGCUGGGGAAUAUUUCCCUAUAGGUCCUUCACUGUUUGAGCGCGUCCCAAUUCGGUCCCGAACCACCCUCUUUUAUUUAUUUACAGUUUAGACCCCCGAAUUUUGGUUUGAUUUUAAUUUCAUCCUUUAGUUCAUUUAAUUUAUUAUUUUUUUUAAAAAAAAAAGGGGAAAAGGGGAGUUCCUUUAUUAUUCAUUUUAAGUUAUAUAUAUGUGUAUAUCUUAUUUACCUAAUAUUUUUCUUAUUAUUUAUAUUACUUGAUUUAAGUCAUUAUAUACGUACAUAUUUUUCUAUAAUAUAUAUAUACUCAUAUACAUUUUUUACUAUAUUUUUCAUGUACAUAUUCUUUAUUUAUUUUAAAUAUAAUUUUUUAUAUUUCAUAUUCUCUACAUGCAUAUAUAUAUAUAUACUUAUAUAUUUACAUAUUUUAAUUCAUAUACUUAUAAAUGUAUGUACAUACUUACGUUAUUUUAUUUUUAUAAUAUACAUAUUUAUAUCUUUUUUGUCUUUAUGUAAUAUAUAUACACACAUGCGCAUGUUAUUUAUAUAUAUGUAAUUACGUUUUCAUAUUUUAUAAUUCUUAUACGUACACACAUAUAUAUACGUAUAGACAUACAUAUUUUCAUUAUAUAUACCUACGUAGUUUUUUUGUAUUUUAAUUUUUUUUUUAAAUUCAUACAUGCAUUUUUAAAUUUUUUAUAGUUUUAUUCAUUUCUUUAUUAUCAUUAUUGUUUUACUUAAUGUUUAUUUAUUUAUUUAUGUGUCCAUUAUUAUUUUAAAAAAUGUUUUAGUUUUUUAUUUCAUUUAUUUACUUGUUAUUGUAUAUAAUUGAUUUUUUAUAUAUUUAUUUUUGUCAUUUUUGCUCGUAUUAUUUUUACUCGCAUUAUCGUAAUUGUUAUUCCGUCACAUCAAUUUUUACCCAAAUUCGUAAAAAAGGAAAAUUUUGGAAAUAAAGGCAAUACUCGAUACUUGAGAUCUUCGAGAGAAUUGGGCCCUAACGUGCUGGGUUCUAAUUUUUUGUUGAAUCUAAAUAAUCGAGAAUGCUCUUUAAUAAUAAAUAAAUAAAAGCUCAUUAUCGGGAUUUCAAUAUGUUGUGUCCUAACGCAUUGGAUAUGACACGUUAUUUUCUCGAUACGAGGAUUUUUCAAAAAUAAAGGCAAUAUUCCAUAUUUAGAAAAUUCGAGAAAAUCGUGCCCUAACUUACUGAGCUUCGAUUUUUCUCGCGUUGAUCCUAAAUAACCGAAUAUCCUUUAAAAAUUAAAAUAAAUGAGGUUUAAACAACGAAAAAUAAAGGGCAAGCUUACUCUCAAAAUACGAGGUGCCGUGUCCUAACUUACUGGAUUUGACAUCUUGUUAAUUCAAGAUAAGAAGGCAUUUUUCAUUUUGAUUUAUUCGAGUAAAUUUUAAAAUAAAACAAUAUAAAGAGGGAUCGUAUUUUUAAAUUCUUUUCGAGUUUUUUUUUAAUUUUCGACAUCAAGACAUUAAGUAAUCAACUAGGUACCAAUUUUGGGCGUAUCAAGGGUGCUAAUCCUUCCUCGUGCGUAACCGACUCCCGAACCCGUUUUUCUGAAUUUUGUAGACCAAAAUCGUUGUUUUAAUAAAAAUUAAAUCGUUUAUUAAAAACAACCACUUUUCGAGGUGACCCGAUCACACCUCAUCAAAAAAAGGAUUGGUGGCGACUCCCAUUUUCGUUUUCUUUUUCAAAAUCCAAGUCGACCCCGUUUUAUCAAAAAAUGGUGUCAACAGCUUGGCGACUCCACUGGGGACAAAAUAAGAGAGUCAAGCCACAUGUUGAUUAUUUUUUGUCUUUUUGUCAAAAACCGAAAGUUGGGUUUAAAUAUAUGAUCCUUUCAUUGUAUUUCAUUUGUUUUUACCAUUGUGGUUUAUGAUUGCUAUGUUAGUAUAAGUUUUGGUAUCUUUCUGCACAUUGCAUUGCAUAACCGCUCGGUUACACCCUUUUAAGUGGGAGUGAGAAACUACGCCUUCGUGAGGUUUUUACCUCCGCAUGGGAUAGUGAAUCACUUCCGGGAUACAUCCGUACCUAUGUCUUCGUGAGAUUUUCAUCUCCGCAUGGCCAUAGGGAAAUGUAUUCUCCUGAACUGAACUCGGUCCGUAUGAACCUAUAAUGGGUGAGGAUCGAGGAAUCUGCUAGUUCGGGUACCCUUUCUUUAGAACCGAACCGCAUAUUAUGAGCCUUAAGAGCUUACCCUAGGUAGAACCACACUGAAUGCCUAGAGGUCACCCGAAAACUUGGUUCAAAUCUAUGAUUAUUUUGUUGUAUUUUGUCCGUUUUUGCUACGAUUAUCAUUACUUCGGUUUGUAAUUACUCUAUUGGUUUGAAUAUUUUUGAUAUGUUUCUGCAUAUUGCAUUGCAUAACCAUUCGAUUAUAUCCUUUUAAGUGGGGGUGAGAAGCUAUUUCCUUCGUGAGGUCUUCACCUCCGUGCAGGAUAGUUGAUCGCUUUCGGGAUACAUCCGUACCUAUGUCUUCGUGAGGUAUUCAUCUCCGUGCAGCCAUAGGGAAAUGUAUUCCCCUAAACUGAACUCAGUCUGUAUGAGCCUAUAAUGGGUGAGGAUUGCGGAAUCUGCCGGUUCGGGUACCCUUAUUUUAGAGCCGAACUGCGUAUAGUAAGCCUUAGUUGCCCGCCUUAGGAAUAAUUACACCAAACUCUAGUGAUCUCCAGAGUAGGUGCUCAAUUUGUUUCUUACUUGCUUGCUCGUGUACUAAACCGUUUCAUUUUGUUUCGGUUAUGAUUGCAUUGCAUUGCAUUGCAUUGUGUUUUUCAUCAUAAACAAGAGGUGUUGAUUCACGUUCAAGUAUCUAAAUAGAGAGCUUGUCAUAAGAAAAUGAGUUUCUUGAUAAAGUGGAAAACAAUACGGUCGUUCUAAUACGGUCCGAGAAGAUAUAACAAAAGAAGGAUGAUAGUUCAAUGGAGGACUAUACGACUUUGCUUCGUUGCCCGAAGAUUCAAGUCGACAAAGAUAAUUCGAGAGUCGUCAACGUCUUGACCUUUUAAAGAAGCUAGCAAGCAUCACAAAGAUGGACGAACAAUGGGUCGCAACUCAAAUCAAGCAAAGGAGAUAGAUGAUGUGCCCCUUUUGAAGAGUUUUCGAGAUUCAAUCUUAAUGUAUGGAUUUGAAGAAAAUGAUCGAUGUCUCUACUUCGAGAGUUAGGACGAUAUCGUAUAUGUAAAUAUCCAUUUUAUGUAAAGAGAUUUGUUUUCUAGUAAAGUUGUUCUAAUAGAAUUGAAUCAAGAAUCAACGUCUCUUUUUGCAUUCAUGCAUCUGCAUUACAUUUCAUUGCAUGCAUCUUUUCAUUCAUUAACAUUGCAUUUCAUUGCAUACAAUAAAUUUCCUAAAAUCCAAAAGGGCAUUGAGUUCAGAACUCUAGUACAGAGCCAGAUGGAUGAUAGAGAAUUAGAAUUCUUUAAAGAUAUCGAUGGUUUAUGAGGUAAAGAUGUUUGUACCUUUAAAGAAGAAACCGAAAAACAAACAAAAACAAAAUAAUCAUCAGGAAUUUGUUUCUACAUCCCUAGAGGCGUUCUUAACAACGAGACCAUGGAGGAGAUUCUUGUAAUUUUUUUUAGGACCAUUUCAGAGUAACAUUCGGAACGCUCUUAUUGCUCUAAGCCUAGGAGCAAUAAAAAAUCCUUUUGUGGAAAAGGUACAUGUCCACUAUUCUUUAUUUCAACGAAAUGCAUUUUUGUGUCCUGUUUUGGCAAAUAUUCUUUUGUUCCUUCUAGUUCAUUCAUACUCAUACCACACAAAUAAUUACCCUUUGAUUCAUUUGUUCUUUGAGUCUUCUUUCGUUCCUAUAAUAGGUCUCUAGAUAUCAAUGAUAUGAGCGACACUGCUAUUGACUCAGAAUUUCCUUUUGAGCAAGAUAUGUAUCCAGAGGAACCUCAAGACUUCAAAGAUGAUCGAGACUGUAGUUUAUCUCCUGAUUUGUUAAGGAUGGUAGAUCAAGUAAAAAAAACAUAUCCUACCUUACAGAAAAUCAGUCAGAAAUUGUGAGCUUAGGAGAAGAGAAAAAGGUGAAGAUCAGAGCCUGUAUCACUGUAGAGACAAAGCGAGACGCCAUUGAAUUACUAAGCUACUAAGACGUGUGGACGCUUUUGAGGCUAACAAGAUCUUGGACGAGGUCUAUACGGGUGUCUAAGGAACACAUGCUAAUGGUUUUGCAAUAACCAAGCAAAUCAUGAGAUUUGGGUACUGCUGGUCCACCAUGGAAGGCGAUUGCAUCAGUUAUACCAAGAAACGCCACAAGGGCAAAUUUACGAAGACAAGAUUUAUGUGCUUCCUUUAUCUCUUCAUGUUAUGACUUUUCCAUUGACUUUCUCUAUGAGGGGCAUGGAUGUCAUUGGGCCGACCUCGCCAAAAGCUUCUGGCGGUUAUCGAUUCAUCUUUGUGGUCAUCGAUUACUUCAUAAAGUGGGUAGAGGUUGUUUCAUAUGCCGAUAUCACAAAGCAGACAAUCAGCAUUUUUCUUGAAGAAUCAUAUGCCAAAAAGGAUCAUAUUAGACAAUACAUUGAAUUUAAACAACCGCACGACAUCAGAAGUUUGCAGUCUGUUCAAGAUUAACACCAUGUCGCCCCAAAAUGAACGACUCAGUGGAAAAAAAACAAAAAAAGUAAAAAAAAGAGAGCAAAAAAAACAAAAACGAAAAAACCCUCUACCGGGGCAACUCAUUUCUCACUAGUAUAUGGAAUAGAGGUAGUUUUACCCAUCAAAGUUGAUAUUUCUACCCUUCGAGUCUUGUCAGAGUUGAAUUUGGAUGAAGCAAAUCCAAGCCCGACAUGAACAGUUAAAUUUGAUUGAAGAGGAAAAAUUCAAAGUUAUCCGUCUUGGUCAAAAGCACCAAAAUAAAAUACGCGAGCUCACUAAAAGGUUCACCCCAGAAAAUUCUAUGAGGAGCACCUGGUAUCGAAAAAUCAUUUCCAUACCAAAGGACUUCAAAAGAAAGUGAUGCCAAAUCGAGAAGGACCUUAUCUAGGAGAGCGUCGGUAUUGACCAAUAUAGAUGGCAAGAACCUGCCUAAUCUUGAGAAUUUUGAUGCAAGCAAUAAAAACUUCACUUGAGAAAAAAAAGAAACAAAAAGAAAAAAGAAAAGAAAAACGAAAAAGAAAAGAGAAAAAGGAUAGGCCAAGGUGAAAACCCGCAAAGGGCGCCUUGAGACCAAAAGGGUUUUGAAUUGAAAACCCAGGAAUGGGCAGUUUGAAUUUUGAUCGAAGGCGGGGCAUGCGGUAGUCUUGUCCUCUCCGAAUUAAUAAGAAGGAAAGAUGCUACAUCUUGGGGCAUCAACAAAGUCUUCUAGAACUUCUAGACACAUAUCAAGUUCAAAAGGGUCCUCAAGAAGUUUAGGGCAGAGAAACUCAUGCUAUGAUAUCUGGGGCACCUAUUUCCAUUUUAUUCAUUUUUGUAUUUUUGACAAAAUAUGACAUCUUGAUUAAUUUAUUCUCAUUUUUUAUUCUAGGAAAAUUUGCUAUCUUGAUUAAUUUGUUCAUUUAGAGCUUUGCUCUUAGCAAAUUUCCAUCUUAUCCAUCGUGAUAAUCUUUUUCAUCUUAUUCAUCUCGUAUCUCAGCAAAAUUUGCUAUCUUGAUUGAUUUGUUUGUUCAGAGCUUUGCUCUCAACAAAGUUUCAUUUUUUCCAUUUUGAUAAUCUUUUUCAAGCAUUUUUUAUUGAAAUAACGAUUAAUGAACUGACAAUACUCAUGCAGAAGGAGUUCUCCAUAUUACUCUGAAAGUUUCUAAAUAAUACAAGGACCUGAAACAGGACUAUUGUUUAGAACUAACCAAACCUAAGGGUUGGAAACAUUUGAGAAAGGAUAGUCUAAAUUGAGACUAUUUCUUUGAAUCUUAUGUCAAAGAUACUUGCUGAACCGGAAAACAUCAGUGAUAGAACCUUGACAAACAAUGAGGAACGACAACCCAAACAUUAAAAGGGAUCAUUCUCAUAACAUUCGACAUUCAUUCAAAUGUCAUUCAUACACAUCUAGUUAUGAGCAUUUUAUUCAUUCUAAUCAUGUCAUCCUAAUCACUAGGCAUAAAUAGGUUCAUAAAAUAGAUUAUACAGGUCAUGUUCCUCAGGGAACAGAGCAAUGAAGUUACCAGAUCUUGCCUUCCUGCAUUGACGGCGAAGCAGAUCAAAGACACAAACCUUGUCUCUCUCGGUUGUAGCAGAGCUGGUUGAAUACAACAGAUCUUGCCUUCCUGCGUUGACAGCGAAGCAGAUCAAAGACACAAACCUUGCCUCUCGAUUGUAGCAGAGCUGGUUGAAUACAACAGAUCUUGCCUUCCUGCGUUGACAGCGAAGCAGAUCAAAGACACAAACCUUGCCUCUCUCAGUUGUAGCAGAGUUGGUUGAAGACAACAGAUCUUGCCUUCCUGCAUUAACAGCGAAGCAGAUCGAACACAAACCUUGCCUCUCUCGGUCGUAGUAGAGCUGGUUGAAGAUUGCAGAUCUUGCCUUCCUGUAUUUGGCAGCAAGCAGAUUGAAGAUGGUAGAUUUUACCUCCCUGACUACAGUGGAGUACAUUGAAGCCGAUAAUUCUAUCUCCCUGGUUAGUAGUGGAAUAGAUUGAAGAUCAAAGAUGGCAGAUUUUACCUCACUGACUACAGUGGAGUACAUUGAAGCCGAUAAUUCUAUCUCCCUAGUUAGCAGUGGAAUAGAUUGAAGAUCGAAGAUGGCAGAUUUUACCUCCCUGACUACAGUGGAGUACAUUGAAGUCGAUAAUUCUAUCUCCCUGGUUGGUAGUGGAAUAGAUUGAAGAUUACAGAUCUUAUCUCCCUAAGCAGUAGUGGAGCAGAUCACAUCAAGUCUUAUCUCCCUAAGCAGUAGUGGAGCAGACGAAAGAAACCAGUCUUAUCUCCCUAAGCAGUAGUGGAGCAGACGAAAAAAAACCAGAUCUUAUCUCCCUAAGCAGUAGUGGAGCAGAUCACAUCAAGUCUUCUCUCACUAAGCAGUAGUGGAGCAGACGGAAGAAACCACAUAUCUUAUCUCCCUAAGCAAUAGUGGAGCAGAUCGCAUCAAGUCUUAUCUCCCUAAGCAGUAGUGGAGCAGACAAAACCACAGAUCUUAUCUCCCUAAGCAGUAGUGGAGCAGAUCGCAUCAAGUCUUAUCUCCCUAAGCAGUAGUGGAGCAGACGAAAAAAAACCAAUCUCAUCCCCAUGGAGUUGUAGCAGAGUGGAUUAAAGCUACAAGCAUACCUCUUUUUGAAGUUGCCGUGAAGUGGAUCAAAGCAAGAAGACGCAGCGGACUGGAAUGAAGCUACUUGAAGAAGAGAAGCACUAGAAGAAGUCAAAACUCGGCGAGACCGGGCAAAAUUGGUCUUUCUCAGUCUUUGCUCCAUUCCCGUUACACGACAAUGAGCAAAGAGGGGCAGCUGUAAGACCCAAUUUUCGCCCGGGCCCAGGCAAACAUAAAUAAAAACCUAACAACCCCAAAACUUUUACAAGCCCAAACUAAAUAUAACCCUGGCCCACAAACUUUAAAAUUUUUCAGCCAAAACAAAAAAACCCUAGCCUCCCUAACUCUUUUCAGCCUCCACGCAUGCCCACUGCCGCUACUGCUCGCCUAUCACCGGCCACCCAUGCGUCUGACGCCUCUGACACCUGCAGAGAGCAAUAAACACGCAGCAGAGAGAAGAAAACAAAUCGCAAACAAAUAAAAAAACAAUGGAUAUGAAUAGUUGUAUCUGGCUAUAAAAGCCGAAAUCUAACCUUUGUAAGCUUCUUCCGUUUUUUACAAAUAUUAAGAAAGAAAAGCAAAACUUAAGGUGAAACUUUGUUCUCUGUUGAAGUGUUUAUUUAAAUUUGUUUUGCAUUUUUUUUAUAUUUUAUUUUUUAUUUUUCUUCAUAUAAUCAAAAAUAAUAAAAAACUCACCUGGGUUACGGUCUCUUCGCCGGAGUCCCGUUCUCUGUCACCGGAGACGAGUUUAAAGAAGGGACGAGGAAGGCUUCUUUUUUUCUUACCUGUUUUGCUGGGCUCGGGCUGAGAACCCCUUUGGUUCCGCAUGACUCCGGCCACCGUCCUCGGUGGCGUUGCGACGGGGAUGCGGCGGAUGACGGCGGGGUUCCAAUAGCAGAGAAGGGGAAGCCCUUUUAUUUUUUUUAUUCUUUUGUAUUCUUUGCAGAAAAUGAAACAGUGCAUUAAAGGUUCAAAAAAAAGAAAGCAUUUUUUUGCUUUUAUGGAUUGCAGAACAGUGCCGUUUGAGGGGGGAAAUCAACGCAUUCUUGCCCUUAAUGGGUAAUUUAUGCAUUUAGUCCCUCCAUAUUGCGCUGAAGUGCAAUCUAACCUUUUAUUCUUUUGAUUAUGGGCUGCGAGUUUUGUUUCUGCUUCAAUCUGGUCCAUAAACCAUGCGCAGACCCUCAAUGCGUUUAGGGCUGGGGAAUAUUUCCCUAUAGGUCCUUCACUGUUUGAGCGCGUCCCAAUUCGGUCCCGAACCACCCUCUUUUAUUUAUUUACAGUUUAGACCCCCGAAUUUUGGUUUGAUUUUAAUUUCAUCCUUUAGUUCAUUUAAUUUAUUAUUUUUUUUAAAAAAAAAAGGGGAAAAGGGGAGUUCCUUUAUUAUUCAUUUUAAGUUAUAUAUAUGUGUAUAUCUUAUUUACCUAAUNNNNNNNNNNNNNNNNNNNNNNNNNNNNNNNNNNNNNNNNNNNNNNNNNNNNNNNNNNNNNNNNNNNNNNNNNNNNNNNNNNNNNNNNNNNNNNNNNNNNNNNNNNNNNNNNNNNNNNNNNNNNNNNNNNNNNNNNNNNNNNNNNNNNNNNNNNNNNNNNNNNNNNNNNNNNNNNNNNNNNNNNNNNNNNNNNUUAAUUCAUAUACUUAUAAAUGUAUGUACAUACUUACGUUAUUUUAUUUUUAUAAUAUACAUAUUUAUAUCUUUUUUGUCUUUAUGUAAUAUAUAUACACACAUGCGCAUGUUAUUUAUAUAUAUGUAAUUACGUUUUCAUAUUUUAUAAUUCUUAUACGUACACACAUAUAUAUACGUAUAGACAUACAUAUUUUCAUUAUAUAUACCUACGUAGUUUUUUUGUAUUUUAAUUUUUUUUUUAAAUUCAUACAUGCAUUUUUAAAUUUUUUAUAGUUUUAUUCAUUUCUUUAUUAUCAUUAUUGUUUUACUUAAUGUUUAUUUAUUUAUUUAUGUGUCCAUUAUUAUUUUAAAAAAUGUUUUAGUUUUUUAUUUCAUUUAUUUACUUGUUAUUGUAUAUAAUUGAUUUUUUAUAUAUUUAUUUUUGUCAUUUUUGCUCGUAUUAUUUUUACUCGCAUUAUCGUAAUUGUUAUUCCGUCACAUCAAUUUUUACCCAAAUUCGUAAAAAAGGAAAAUUUUGGAAAUAAAGGCAAUACUCGAUACUUGAGAUCUUCGAGAGAAUUGGGCCCUAACGUGCUGGGUUCUAAUUUUUUGUUGAAUCUAAAUAAUCGAGAAUGCUCUUUAAUAAUAAAUAAAUAAAAGCUCAUUAUCGGGAUUUCAAUAUGUUGUGUCCUAACGCAUUGGAUAUGACACGUUAUUUUCUCGAUACGAGGAUUUUUCAAAAAUAAAGGCAAUAUUCCAUAUUUAGAAAAUUCGAGAAAAUCGUGCCCUAACUUACUGAGCUUCGAUUUUUCUCGCGUUGAUCCUAAAUAACCGAAUAUCCUUUAAAAAUUAAAAUAAAUGAGGUUUAAACAACGAAAAAUAAAGGGCAAGCUUACUCUCAAAAUACGAGGUGCCGUGUCCUAACUUACUGGAUUUGACAUCUUGUUAAUUCAAGAUAAGAAGGCAUUUUUCAUUUUGAUUUAUUCGAGUAAAUUUUAAAAUAAAACAAUAUAAAGAGGGAUCGUAUUUUUAAAUUCUUUUCGAGUUUUUUUUAAUUUUCGACAUCAAGACAUUAAGUAAUCAACUAGGUACCAAUUUUGGGCGUAUCGAGGGUGCUAAUCCUUCCUCGUGCGUAACCGACUCCCGAACCCGUUUUUCUGAAUUUUGUAGACCAAAAUCGUUGUUUUAAUAAAAAUUAAAUCGUUUAUUAAAAACAACCACUUUUCGAGGUGACCCGAUCACACCUCAUCAAAAAAAGGAUUGGUGGCGACUCCCAUUUUCGUUUUCUUUUUCAAAAUCCAAGUCGACCCCGUUUUAUCAAAAAAUGGUGUCAACAAUUCCCAUCGAGAGUAACCUCUCAUAGAAAUAUUGCAAGAGUGAUUGUUCAGACAGUCUAUGUUGUGUGCAACUUGCACACAACUUUUUGUAUCGCUCCUAGUAAUCAUAGAGCGAUUCAGUCUCCUUUUGCCUAAUUCUUACAAUGUCCCUCCUUAAUUUAACUGCUCGAGCUAUUGGAAAGAACCAGUUAAGAAAUAAAUGAGAAAUGUCAAACCAUGUAUUGACAGACCUUGGAGGUAAAUAAAAUAGCCAUUAUGUAGCAGAGUCGGCUAACAAGAAAGGAAAAGCACGAAGUUUAAUUUGAUCAUCAGUUACUCUUUGAGGUUUCAUGCUUGUGCAAACCAUAUGAAAUUCCUUGAGAUGGGUAUGCAGAUUUUCAUUCUGUAAUCCGCGGAAGGUAGGAAAUAGAUAAUUCAUGUCUGAUUUUAACUCGAAUGGCAUUUCUCCCACCCGAUAAGUUAUACAUAGGGGAGCUUGUUCAUCUAGGGCUGUUGCAAGUUGGCAUAUAGUUUGCUCUGCCAUAUCAUCUGGUUCAUCGAAUGAGAAAAUGUCAUCGAUGUAAAAUCCUGUUUUAAACUGAGGUUGUCGUCAUUUACCACGUUGAGUGGCUUCUAUUCGCAGUUUUUGAGCCAAUUUCUCUAUUUCUGGAUCAAAUUCUAGAGACCCUAGUUUUGACCUGGUCAUAAGGAAAACAAAUGAAAAUUAAAAAAAUUUUCAAUCCCCGACAACAGCGCUAAAAUUUGAUGGGCAUCGAAACCACCAAAUAAAUUAAUUCCUACAAGAAAAUAACUCUAAACAGUAAUAAAUAGUAGUUUGGACGAUUCCAUAGGGAUUGGUGAUUAUGAUCAACUUUCAUGUUUUUCUUGUGAACAUAAUUUUUGUCGUGUCGAUAAUCGUGGCAAUAGACAUGCCGACGACUCCAAACGAUUUGCUUUAAAAUAAAUAAAAUAAAUUAGGGGAGUUUCGAAAUGUUUAGAAAUUAAAUUAUUGAGACAGUAUAAAUAAACAAUUAAAUAAAUCAGGAAUAAAAUUAAAUUAGAAAUUAAAUUCGAAUUUUGUAAACAAAAAUAAUAAGCCUUAGCCUUAGACUCGGUGAAUUUCAGUUUCUGAACUAAUCCUCGAAAUUAGUUUUCUCCUCCAAAUAAUAAGUUGGUUAUAGCGGUUAAGAACGUCCUAACCACCAACUAUACCUCUCAUAGUUGAUUCCAGCACUACUUGCAAACAAACCUUUAUCGAUUAUCUAACCACAAUGCACGCGCUUGCGAUUCAAGAUUCCAAUAGCCUUGUGUUCUGAACAGCACAACUCAAAUUAACAACCUCAACUGCGCAAGACGUUUAAAUUUGAUCACUAUCUCCCUUGAUUUGUUCGCAAAAAUCCAAAUACAGCACGGCCUACUUGUCUCUCCAACUGUCUGCCAAAAUGACUAAAACCCAACACGCUUUUUGAAUUGAAAUCGAGUUAACUUUAAGGGAUGAAUUUGUCAAUCCCGAUAUUCCGGAGAGAUGGUGAAUACCGAUUUGAAGGAUUUUUAGUGCGAAUAUGUUUCUCACGAUUCCUGACUGGAAAGAAUAUUGGCUUAAUGCUAAUUUGAAUUUAUUGAAGCAUAAAAUUAAUUAAUAAUGCUUUGGUUGGUUAUUGAAGUAGAUUUGAAUGGAAAUGGUGGUAGGUGAAAGGGGAAGAUCAGCUUAGGAAACAAUUAAGCCAAAAUAUUGAAAUGGAAACAAAAGUUGGCAGAAUGCCUGCACUCUUUCAUGCAAAGUAAAAAAAGAAAAUAAAUUGACUUUUCUAUUCAAUUGCUAGGAAAAUCAAGAUGUAUUUUUUCAAGUUCACCAUGCCACCAUAAACCAUAUGCUAAGAUUAGGCUAAUCCCACCUACCCAGUAAUUACAUGAAAUAAAUAUUAGAUUUCUUUUCUAAUUUUAGCUUAUACAAAGUCAAAAAUAUGAUCAAACCCUAAAUGUCUCCAAAUUUCUGAUUCGACCUCUCUUUAAUUUCUCAUCCUUCAAUUUAAUCAUUUUUUGCUUGUUUUCAAAUUAAAGCAUCCGAAAUUCGUUCUUGAUAAGAUUUAAAAUAAAAUUCACCAAUCAGCAGAAAUUAAUUCAAAAACAAGUUGAUUUGAGCACAUAAAAUAUGUAAAACAAAUUUGUUAUCAUUAUAAUAAUUUUAUAUUCAAUUGGUUUAAUCUAACUAAUUAUUUUGAAUUUCAUUGUCAUGACUUAUAGGUGAUAAAAUAUACAAUUUAUUAUGAUUAAUUUUAAAAUUAUUAUUCGGUACAUUGUGGAAAAAAAAAUCACAAGAUCACAUAUGCAUGUCCAUGUAUUUAUUUAUAGAUUUUUAAAUAUAAUUUAAAGACCACUUGUUAUUAUUUAACUUUUGCUUGUGGAAUUUUUUCUUUCUAUCAAAUAAUAAUCCUUAAAAUCAUUAUCCAGAAAGAAAAAAUAUUAAUAUUGUUGCAAGUUAUUAAAUACUUUUGGAACAUUGUAGAUAAACCUGUAUCACAUUAACCAAUUCCAACUACAAUUGGGACAAACAAAUCAAUGAAAGCAUUUUUUUUUUAAUAUAAGUCAAUGCAAGUAUUAAGUCUUCUUUGAAACACAAAAAAACAUUUAAGUCGCUAAGAGCGACAACAACCUUUAAUUAAACAAAUAUAAUGAUAAGAAUAUAUAUAAUAUAAUAUUUGUCUAGUUUUCUUUUGGACGUACAAUACUUGUCUACUUAAUUUACUUAUUUGAUUAUUUUAUUUAUAAAGUAACAAAAAUGUUAAUAUUUUUAUUUCAAAUGAAACAUUAUAAUGUCAAAACAUUUUAUAAAAUACUUUUUAUUGUUGUGUCCUGUCAUACCCGUAUCCUUAUUUUAAAAAAAUUAUCAUAUCACUAUGUUCAUAUCAUGUCGUACCUGUAUUACAUGUCUUUGUCCGUGUUUCAUAAAUAGUUUUUAAAUGUUAUUUUAAAAUAAUUAUUUUAAAAUAAUUAUAUAUGUCUUCAUUUAUUUUGCAUGAGUUUAAAAUAAUAAAAUUUAAAUAUAGAUAUAAGUUCUAUUAAUUUGUAUAAAAACCAUUUAAUUAAAUUUAGAUUUAAAUCUAAAGUCUAAAUUUAAAUUUUAAUUAUCACAACAAUCAACUUAAAUUAAUUCAAAAGCUCAAUUUGAACAUCAAAGGUCUACAAAAGUUGAAUCAUUAUAUGUGUACUUCGGGUAAUUACUUAUUUCGCCUGAAUUGAAGCCCCCCUCUUUUUUAGGAAUUUCGGGUCUCUUUAGUUACUUUUUGAAUAGAUAUUGCAAUUAUUUAAAUUUUUUUUAUCAAAAGGAAUUUUUUUUUUAGAAUAAAACUUCAUAAAUAAAAAAGGUCAUGAGAGAACCCAAGAGGAAGUUGAUGUCUACUUGACUCAUCAUUAGAGUAACAAUAUUUCAACUUGUUAUAGUAACAAUAUCCAAUGAUUUACUUGGCUCAUCAUUACAGUUCUCACAACUAUGAACCUCCAUUGAUGUUUCAAGAGGAAGUUGAUGGAAUGGCUUAGGAGGCAUCUCAAGGAGUUCAACAUUAGAUUCAAGCAUCUUCAAAACUUUACUCAUUGAAGGACGAUCAGAAGGCCAUAAUUGUAUAGACCAAAAGGCUGUUAUUACCAUUUUCUUUACCAUUGCUUUUUCAUCGUCAGAAACAUCUCCCAACUCCAAGUCCUCUCCUUGAUCUAAUCGAUCAUAAAUCCAAGAUGGAAAAUAUAUUUGACUAGUGUGGUCAGCAAAUGCAUUCACAUUCUUUCUCAUUCCAAUCAUUUCCAUUAGUAACAUUCCAAAACUAUAAGCAUCGGCUUUGUAUGAGAUGCCUCCAAGAUUUUUGUAAACCAAUUCAGGAGCAAUAUAUCCUAUCGUUCCUCAUGCCACAGUGAGAGAGACAAUGCUAUCAUCUACUGAAUACAAUUUAGCAAGACCAAAAUCCGAAACUUUUGGAUUAAAAUUCUCAUGAAGAAGAAUAUUGUGUGGCUUGAUAUCAAAAUGUAGAAUUUGCAUGUCACGUCCUUGAUGUAAGUAGUGAAUUCCUUGAACCACCCCAAGCACAAUAUCAAACAUUUUUUUCCAGCCCAAAGUGUUCUUAUUUUCUUCUGUAAAUAUGAUUUUAUCUAAAGAUCCAUUAGACAUGAAGUCAUAUACCUGAGCUUGCUUUGAUCCCUCCACACAAAAUCCAAUAAGUUUUCCCACGUUAGCAUGAUGAAUUGUCCCAAUAGAAGCAACUUCGUUUAUGAAAUCUUGGCCAUUACCCUUUGACUUGCCCAACAAUUUUAUUGCCAC
rnacentral:lncRNA from 1 species